CCUACGGGUGGCAGCAGUGGGGAAUAUUGCACAAUGGGGGAAACCCUGAUGCAGCGACGCCGCGUGAGCGAGGAAGUAGUUCGGUAUGUAAAGCUUUUUCAGUAGGGACGAAAAAAGACGGUACCUGACUAAGAAGCCCCGGCUAACUACGUGCCAGCAGCCGGGGUAAUACGUAGGGGGCAAGCGUUAUUCGGAUUUACUGGGGGUAAAGGGAGCGUAGACGGCAAGGCAAGGCCGAAGUGAAAGGGGAGGGCUCAACCCUGUACAUGCUUUUGGAACUGGGGUGCUAGAGUGCAGGAGAGGUAAGUGGAAUGCCUAGUGUAGCGGUGAAAUGCGUAGAUAUUAGGAGGAACACCAGUGGCGAAGGCGGCUUACCGGACGGUAACUGACGUUGAGGCUCGAAAGCGUGGGGAGCAAACAGGAUUAGAUACCCGAGUAGUC
rnacentral:rRNA from 1 species